rnacentral:misc_RNA from 1 species
GAAAUGCGAUAAGUAAUGUGAAUUGCAGAAUUCCGUGAAUCAUCGAAUCUUUGAACGCACAUUGCGCCCGCCAGUAUUCUGGCGGGCAUGCCUGUCCGAGCGUCAUUUCAACCAUCAAGCCCCCGGGCUUGUGUUGGGGACCUGCGGCUGCCCGCAGGCCCUGAAAACCAGUGGCGGGCUCGCUGUCACACCGAGCGUAGUAGCAAUCACCUCGCUCAGGGCGUGCUGCGGGUUCCGGCCGUUAAACAGCCUUACAAAACCCAAGGUUGACCUCGGAUCAGGUAGGAAGACCCGCUGAACUUAAGC